rnacentral:rRNA from 1 species
ACGAAGGGGGCAAGCGUUGUUCGGAAUUACUGGGCGUAAAGGGCGCGUAGGCGGUUCUUUAAGUCAGGCGUGAAAGCCCUGGGCUCAACCUGGGAGUGGCGCUUGAUACUGGGGGACUAGAGAGUGGGAGAGGUUGGUGGAAUUCCCAGUGUAGAGGUGAAAUUCGUAGAUAUUGGGAAGAACACCGGUGGCGAAGGCGGCCAACUGGACCAUUUCUGACGCUGAGGCGCGAAAGCGUGGGGAGCAAACAGGAUUAGAUACCCUGGUAGUCCACGCUGUAAACGAUGAGUGCUGGACGUUGCGGAGCUUGCUCUGCGGUGUCGUAGCUAACGCGCUAAGCACUCCGCCUGGGGAGUACGGCCGCAAGGUUG